ensembl:snRNA Gm24002 U6 spliceosomal RNA
GUGCUGGCUUCAGCAGCACAUACACUAAAUCGGAACACUACAGAGAAAUUAGCUCGGCCCCGCACAGGGAUGAUGUGCAGAUUCGUGACACACUCCAUAUUUUU